GAGUAUCUUUUCUAUUCUAGCUGAUCUGUACAGUCUUUCUUUAUAGGACUCUGAAAUGCCUAUCGAUACAGAAAGUUAUAAUAAAUUCUUAACCUUGCACAGUGUUCAAUACAUACAGACAGCAUCCAGGCAUCAAGGCAUUACUUGUUGUGAAUUAUGUUCCAUUAGGAAGGAAAUGUAACAGAACUUGGAGUACAGUUUGUGGCAGCUUUAUCAGCACUGACAAAACAAAGGCCAUUUCUGUAUGAGGCAUUCCCGACACUUUCUGCACAAGCUGGAAAUGAUCAAACCAAGUGAAAACCACACAGGAUUAGAGAACCUGAGCUGGCCUGGAAGCUGCGCUGUGGCCCUGGAGCACUUCCAAACCCCAGCCCCUGGCAGAAGAGUUACAGCUUUCGGGUCAUGCUGUAAUGGAGACAGUAAAUCACUGAUGUGAAAUGCA